rnacentral:RNase_P_RNA from 1 species
UGAGCCGGCUGGGCGGCCGCGGCUGCGUGCGCCGAAAGGCGGCGGCUGAGGAAAGUCCGGGCUCCCUAGGGCAGGAUGCUGGAUAACGUCCAGUGAAGGCGACUUCAAGGAAAGUGCCACAGAAACAUACCGCCACGGCGCCUCGCCAGAGACAUCGUGGUAAGGGUGAAAUGGCGAGGUAAGAGCUCACCGGUGAAAAGGCGACUUUUCAGCCGGGUAAACCCCAUCCGGAGCAAGACCGCAUAGAGGAGCGUUGAGGCUGCCCGUCUCGCUCCCGGGUAGGUCGCUAGAGACGCCGGGCAACCGGCGCCCCAGAUAGAUGGCCGCCACCGUGCGGACUGGCUGUACUGUGUAUUCAGUAUGGGCUUUGUCCGUCGGUACAGAACCCGGCUUAUACGCCGGCUCACGCU